rnacentral:rRNA from 1 species
CAUGCGAGUCGAGCGGCAGCGGGAAAGUAGCUUGCUACUUUUGCCGGCGAGCGGCGGACGGGUGAGUAAUGCCUGGGGAUCUGCCCAGUCGAGGGGGAUAACAGUUGGAAACGACUGCUAAUACCGCAUACGCCCUACGGGGGAAAGGAGGGGACCUUCGGGCCUUUCGCGAUUGGAUGAACCCAGGUGGGAUUAGCUAGUUGGUGGGGUAAUGGCUCACCAAGGCGACGAUCCCUAGCUGGUCUGAGAGGAUGAUCAGCCGCACUGGAACUGAGACACGGUCCAGACUCCUACGGGAGGCAGCAGUGGGGAAUAUUGCACAAUGGGGGAAACCCUGAUGCAGCCAUGCCGCGUGUGUGAAGAAGGCCUUCGGGUUGUAAAGCACUUUCAGCGAGGAGGAAAGGUUGGCGCCUAAUACGUGUCAACUGUGACGUUACUCGCAGAAGAAGCACCGGCUAACUCCGUGCCAGCAGCCGCGGUAAUACGGAGGGUGCAAGCGUUAAUCGGAAUUACUGGGCGUAAAGCGCACGCAGGCGGUUGGAUAAGUUAGAUGUGAAAGCCCCGGGCUCAACCUGGGAAUUGCAUUUAAAACUGUCCAGCUAGAGUCUUGUAGAGGGGGGUAGAAUUCCAGGUGUAGCGGUGAAAUGCGUAGAGAUCUGGAGGAAUACCGGUGGCGAAGGCGGCCCUCUGGACAAAGACUGACGCUC